rnacentral:misc_RNA from 1 species
AUGAAGAACGUAGCGAAAUGCGAUACCUGGUGUGAAUUGCAGAAUCCCGCGAACCAUCGAGUCUUUGAACGCAAGUUGCGCCCGAGGCCACUCGGCCGAGGGCACGCCUGCCUGGGCGUCACGCCAAAACACGCUCCCAACCACCCUCAACGGGAUCCGGGAUGCGGCAUCUGGUCCCUCGUCUCUCAAGGGACGGUGGACCGAAGAUUGGGCUGCCGGCGUACCGCGCCGGACACAGCGCAUGGUGGGCGUCCUCACUUUAUCAAUGCAGUGCAUCCGGCGCGCAGCUGGCAUUAUGGCCUUUGA